rnacentral:rRNA from 1 species
UACGUAGGCAGCGAGCGUUGUUCGGAAUUACUGGGCGUAAAGAGUGUGUAGGCGGUGCUCUAAGUUCGGUGUGAAAUCUCCCGGCUUAACUGGGAGGGUGCGCCGGAAACUGGAGUGCUCGAGCGUGGGAGAGGAAAGCGGAAUUCCUGGUGUAGCGGUGAAAUGCGUAGAUAUCAGGAGGAACACCUGCGGUGUAGACGGCUUUCUGGGCCAUUGCUGACGCUGAGACACGAAAGCGUGGGUAGCAAACAGG